ensembl:lncRNA
ACGAAUCUGCAGGUUUAUGAUUUGCUGGUGGGCUCUGUAAAUGAGGGUGACCACUGGACACUGCUGGCAAUAUAUCCAAAGGAAGGAAAUAUCAUUUAUAUGAACUCCUGUGAUGAAAGCACCAGGAAAUUUGCCCACUGCCUUAAGGCUGUGAGGUGAGAAAUUAAAGAACCCUCAUCAGGUAAUGGUUUAUAAGUUUUAUACAAAUUUUUCUUUCUUCAAUAAAAGGGGUUUUGUGGAUACAAAGGGUUUCAAGGGUGCCACAUGGAAGUGUGUCAAAUAACCUCACUGCCUACAACCAGAUACCACUUCAUGUGGGUGAUUUUGUGUAAGGUAAGCAGUUUUAUAAUUGCAUUACACUUGUUAACUUGUUGAUCAUGUUCCAUAAGAUAUUUAGUAAAUUUUCUACCAUAAAUGUAUCAAAACUUAAUUUUUGAUUAGCAAUAUACAUUGCUAAGAACUUCAUUUUGACAACUUUAAAGGCGAUUUUCUCAAUAUUUAGAUUUUUUUGCACCCUCAGAUUCCAGAUUUUCAAAUAUUGUCUUAACAAGCCUUCCAUCGAUGGAAAACUUAUUUAUNAGGCAGCAUCUGUCCAUUGUGCCCAAACCCUGUCCCUGCUGGCUUACCGUAGCAUCAUCCCAUUAGUGGAGUCCCUCCUUCAUAAGUUCAGUUCUGACAGCUCUUUACCCGUAUGAGUAGAAAAACGUUCUUGAGCAGAGAAAGCGGGCAGAAGAAGAGGAGAAGCAAAAACAGAGAGAGAAUGGACUACAAAAAGUGAUCAGAAAGUGAGCCCAGGCGAAUGACCCGCAUGUGGCCCUGGCCCAGACGUGCCAGUCCAGACUAAAAGAUUUCAGGAAACAAGAUCUUCAGAGACAAAGAGAGUACCGGGAGGAGAUGAGAGAAAUCCGGGAAAGAGUGAAGGGAAGACCUCUGUUACUGGAACACGUCACAAAGAUGAAUGCUAAGAGAGCAGAAGAAAAGCUCUACUCUGCCACUUUGCAUGGAUGUGGUCUAAGUGAAUCCUUUAUCCGCAGUAAAGCUCAUAAAGGCUUGAAACACAGACAGACUCCAAGCCCCGCCCACUCUGGCAGCCAGGCUCCACCCACAUAUAGUAAAAACAGAAAUGAAGAUAAUGGGGAAUUUCCAGACUUGCAGGAUUCCCUUCUCAAUGACUAUGCAGAUGAUUAUGAGGAGUAUGACCAUGACAUGGAGGCAGGACACAUGGACAGAGAUGAUGACAGGAUGACAGACACAAUGAGUGUCGUGACACUGAUAAGGAAAAGGCCAGCGAUGAAGGACACUCAUAUCAUGAUGAACUGAAUUGUGAUGAUGAUGAACAGGAUGACCGUUAUAAAGAUGAUGACAUCAACAAUAAGCACAGCCAGAGUGAAAGUAACAACAGUCACCAUAGCGACAGGAGCAGAACAGGUAGUUAAGUGACAGAAAAAUGGGAAGAUCAGAAAAGUGAAGAGAGGACUGGUGUUCUCCUAAGAUACAAUGGAGAUCAAAAUUAGAGAACAAUCUACAAUUUCCUCAAUUUCAAGGUCACUGCAAGAUGGCGGGCCGCUCUAAGGUGACUGAAACCAGGGGGGCAGGGUUUCAUAUUUUAUUGAGGCAUCCCUGGGCGCCGCCAUUGGCUAGCGGACCCCCACCUGCUGUUAGCAUUCCAUUGACUCCCAUUCAUUUUGGUGUCACUUUGACAGUGAAUAACUUUACAUCUGAGGUGUUUAAAGACUCCAUUUGUCCAUUCAUUAUUUCUAAAGAAACACGAAAAAUGUAUAAAAGGCCCUAUUACCUUGUAUCUUACGUUAUGGCCCUGUAGAAGCAGUUUUUGUAAAAAUAGGCUAACGAUUGCGUCAUAACCAGCGACUCUCUGUCGCACAGUAGAGAAAUUACCGUAUGGACAGGAGGAGAAGCUCGCAGGCAAUUUUUUACUGUCUAUGAGGCUAUCGGGGGGACGUGGAGGCAUGAAGUCACGGGAGAAGCCCAUAGAGAGUCCAUAAAAGACACGGGACAAAAUUGUUCAACAACGUUUUGAGAAAUUCGGUGGGUGAUUCAGAUUUCUCUUGGCACAGCGAUUAGAAGACUUACAAUUGUCAGACAGGUUGCUCACGUGACAUUUACGUCAUCAAGAUCAGUUUGAGUCUGCGCAGUACGCUCGACUCCCAGGAAGUGCGUGCUUCUAAUUGACUUCACUUGUCUCCGUUGAAUCCAACGGGGUCGCUGUGUCCAUUUCUUUUUACUGUCUAUGAUGAGAACCGAGGAGCUGGUGAUACUGCACAUGCGUGAUUCAGUGUGAAGCAGACUGACACACAGCGCGUCUGAACCGAACUGGUUCUUUUGGUGAUUGAUUCUGAACUGAUUCUGUGCUAAUGUUAUGAUCUCUGUCCUGGAACGCUAUCACUUUUAAUUUAAAACGUUUUUUUAAAAACAAUUAUUUAUCAAAAAGAUGGAAUUAGAAAUAAAUGUUAGGUAAGAACGAUGGAAGACCA